rnacentral:rRNA from 1 species
UACGUAGGUGGCAAGCGUUGUCCGGAUUUAUUGGGUUUAAAGGGUGCGUAGGCGGCUUUGUAAGUCAGUGGUGAAAUAUGGCAGCUCAACUGUCAGGGUGCCAUUGAUACUGCGGAGCUUGAGUACAGAUGAGGUAGGCGGAAUUGACGGUGUAGCGGUGAAAUGCUUAGAUAUCGUCAAGAACACCUAUAGCGAAGGCAGCUUACUAGGCUGUAACUGACGCUGAGGCACGAAAGCGUGGGGAUCAAACAGG